rnacentral:rRNA from 1 species
AACGAACGCUGGCGGCAGGCCUAACACAUGCAAGUCGAGCGGCCAUCUUCGGAUGUUAGCGGCGGACGGGUGGGUAGCGCGUGAGAACGUGCCCUUUGCUUCGAAUUUGCCUCUGGAAACUGGGAGUAAUACCGGAUGUACCCCUUGGACGAAAGAUUUAUUGGCAAAGGAACGGGGCGAGUUGGAUUAGGUAGUUGGUGGGGUGAUGGGCUACCAAGUCAACUAUACAUAGCUGGUUUGAGAGGAUGAUCAGCCACACUGGGACUGAGACACGGCCCAGAAUACUGCGCGAGGCAGCAGAGGGGAAUCUUAGACAACCGGGUAAACCAAGAUCUAGCCAUGCCGGGUGAGCGAUGAAGGCGUGAGAGUAGUAAAGCUCUUUAACCGCGGAAGAUAAUGACGGUACCCGGAGAAGAAGCACCGGCUAACUCCGUG